GUAUCAGGUGAUGUGGCAGCACAC
rnacentral:siRNA from 1 species